GGCGAAGGAGGUGAGCUGCCUGGACAUAAGGUUAUUGACGACAUUGCAGUCACCAGGCAUGCUACACCCGGUGUAGGGCUCAUCAGUCCGCCGCCUCACCAUGAUAUAUAUUCAAUUGAGGAUCUUGCCCAAUUGAUUCAUGACCUCAAGAAUGCAAACCCAAGUGCACGGAUCAGUGUUAAGUUGGUGUCAGAAGCUGGUGUAGGAGUUAUUGCUAGUGGUGUUGUUAAAGGUCAUGCGGAUCAUGUCUUGAUCUCGGGUCAUGAUGGAGGAACCGGAGCUUCCCGUUGGACGGGUAUUAAAAAUGCGGGGCUUCCAU
rnacentral:misc_RNA from 1 species